rnacentral:lncRNA from 1 species
GCUCAGAUUUAUUGUAAGAGGGUGUAAAAAGCAACUCGUGGCUCAGUGUGCUGUCAGCGAGCCGCACUCGUUGUCAAUGCUCAUCUCCUUGUGGGAAAGCCACCCUUUGCCUUCGCGGGUAGAGUGGGCGCCUGCAUGCUGCUGGACACGCAGGGAUGCUCAGAGAGGCCGGGAGGCAGCAGCAGAGGAGGACAGAAGAGGAAAUGGUUCAUUUUGAAGAUGUGCCAUGAUAGGCAAUUCGAGCUUGCUUAUCUUUUCACACAUGCCAGCUUGGAUAACCUGGGUGGAAAACUGAAGUGAAGCAAAGACCUCAGCCUCUCACAGCUCUGGCAGCAGUCACCAGUGCCCUGCUGGAGCUGAGCUCUUGGGGAACACCUUGACCCCAGACUAAGGACUGGAGGUGACUGCUACACUGCUGUUUUAGGGAUCUUGAGAACUGUAAGUGCUCUAUUUCCUAGAGCAAACAAAAAAUGCUGCUCCUGUCUGCCCUUCAGAGGCACCCAGGAGGCAUCCAAGUCAGCCCCUAGUUUUGGGAAUGAGUUUGCCCUGUUCCCUGGGAUAUGAUGGUCUGCCACUCAGGAGGAGUUCACAGAGCACGCCAUAUUCCUGACUGCCCAGUAGUAUUCUAUCAGCUCAAUAUAGGCCUGAUGUUGUAUUAAGGAGAAAAGCUUUCCGGCCAGCAGUAGUGAUGCGUGAAGUUUCCUCAUUGACGGACCACAGAAUGCUUUGGGGCUGUUGGAAGAUGGGUUUUGUAUGCAGCACAUUUUGCAUCUCGGUGUUGUUCUCCAGAGCUGUUUGCUAGCAAAUUGCCAGGAUUUGAAAUUCAGGUAGGUUGCAGGAUGAAAAAAUAUCCUUCCCCACAUUGCUAUGACCUUUUUGGUGGUUUAUUUGUUAAAGGCAUUACUGUUCCCCUCGGGAAUGGUGCCUUCCUCUGUUUUAUGCUCUAAGGAUGUGGCUCUUUUCAUGUUUAUCUUUGAUUCAAGCAUUGUAAAGAGCAAUCCCUCGCACUUAUGUGCUUCAUUGUAUUCUGGCCAUGAGAGAUUCUCCCCCACUGUUUGUAGCCUUUUUUCAGUGCAGCUAGUAAAAUAUUUGAACAGAAAAAAGAAAAGAAAAAAAAAAAAAAGAAAAAAGGAAAGAAAAAAAAGAAAGAAAGAAAAGAAAAAGAGACACUAAACAGCUUCCAGCAUUUAGAGGAUAAAAUGAGAUGUAAGGAAAAGGAUGACUGUGGUUAAUGCACAGGGCUGGGAGGCCUCAGAUGGACCACGGCCUCUCUUCGUUUCUCUUCUCACAUCCUCUGUGACUUUGUCUAAGUUAUUUGACCUCCUCCUGCUGUAGCUCUGGGGUGUUAAACACACGCUGUGUUUUCUGCUUGGAAAACCCAAGCUUGCUGUCCCCAGAGAGCUCAGCGCUGCCCCUCUGCUCCCUAUGAGGAGCUGUAUGGCCAUGAGCCCUCAGCAUCCUCUGCUCUGCUCCCAGCAAACCCAGGGCCCUCAGCUGCCCCUCACACCCCUUGUCCUCCCAUGUGAAUGCCUGUCAGCAUGUGAUACAGCCUGGUUUUCUUCCCUGAUUUCAGAUGACACAUGGAAGCUGAUUUGCACAGGGUGGAUGCAAACCAAGGGCUCAUCCACUGAAAAAUAAUUAAGCUUCACUUGGUUACAGCAGGCAAGCUGGAAUACAAAGAUCCUAAGGCUGGUUAUGGGAGGGUGGUUAAGGGGACACCUCCAGUGGGCAAGGGUCUGUUGUAGUCCAGAUAAGCCCUCACAAUUCAGAGUUUUCUUAAAUUUCUGGGGCAUAAUGGCACAGCUGGCGACAGAGCACCAAGUGAAUAUUUGACAUAAAUAAACCAGUGUUCCUACGUGGGAGAAGGGCAGAGGGAGCCUGUGAAUUAAUGAUCAGCUUUUAAUUUGUCCUUUCAUUGGAAUCAAUGAAAAUGUCAGGAUGAUUGAGGUUUAUGUGCUCAUGGGAAAGAUGUGAGCCCAAGAGAAAGAGAUCAAGGCUAUUUUUUAAUAUAUUUGUUUCACUGAGGAAGAUGCUUCCCUUCAUCUCUAAUACCGGAGAAGGAUUUGCUGUGGGUGAAUUCCUGAGAAAGCCUGGGCAGUGUGUAUUGGAACGGGCUGCCCAGGGAGAUGGUGGAGUCACCGUCCCUGGAGGUGCUCAAGAACUGUGGAGACGUAGCACAGGAAGGGAUGUGGUCAAUGGGCAUGGUGGGAUGGGUUGACAGUUGGACUAGAAGACCUUAAAGGUCUUUUCCAACCUUUACAAUUCUAUAAUUCUGUAAUUCAUUCAAGUCUCAGCAGAGACCUGCCACCCUCAAGCUGUGGGCUGCUGGUUGUCCUUGGGCACAGGGUUCAGCCUACCUGGUGCUGGUUUUUCUGGCUGCAGGCAUAUCCUGCUUGCUCACCCCAGUGCCAGAUCUGCUGUGGAAGGCACAGGGCUGGGUGCAGUUCAGGAUGGCAGCAGCAAAAUGAGAGCCUCAAGAUCCUGGUUUGAAAAGGGUGGAUUCUGCUGAUGGAUGUGAAAAGCUGGC